rnacentral:rRNA from 1 species
GACAGAGGGUGCGAACGUUGUUCGGAAUUACUGGGCGUAAAGCGCGUGUAGGCGGCAAUGCAAGUCGGGCGUGAAAUCCCACGGCUCAACCGUGGAAGUGCACUCGAAACUGCAUAGCUAGAGUCCUGGAGAGGAAGGUGGAAUGCUUGGUGUAGAGGUGAAAUUCGUAGAUAUCAAGCGGAACACCGGUGGCGAAGGCGGCCUUCUGGGACAGUGACUGACGCUGAGACGCGAAAAGCGUGGGGAGCAAACAGG